rnacentral:misc_RNA from 1 species
GAUGAAGAACGUAGCGAAAUGCGAUACGUAAUGUGAAUUGCAGAAUUCAGUGAAUCAUCGAAUCUUUGAACGCAUAUUGCGCUCUCUGGUAUUCCGGAGAGCAUGCUUGUUUGAGUAUCAGUAAACACCUCAACUUCCAUAUCUUUUUUGAAAUGGGAGUUGGACUUGAGUGAUCCCAACGCUUUUCCUCACCGAAAAGUGGCGGGUUACUUGAAAUGCAGGUGCAGCUGGACUUUUCUCUGAGCUUUAAGCAUAUCUAUUUAGUCUGCCUAAAAAACAGAUUAUUACCUUUGCUGCAGCUAACAUAAAGGAGAUUAGUUCUUGUGCUGACUGAUGCAGGAUUCACAAAGACAGGCUUCGGCCGACUUUGUAAACUCGAUCUCAAAUCAAGUAAGACUACCCGCUGAACUUAAGCAUAUCAAUAAGCGGAGGA